GUUCCGUUCCCAUCGCUCUCACCUGCCCAGGUCGCAGGGACGCGGUGAGGACGCUUCGGAGAAGCCGGAAGGAGUCGGUGAGAUGGACUCGGUGGGCUUUGAGGACAUGGCUGUGAACUUCACCGCGGAGGAGUGGGCUUUGCUGGACCCGGUUCAGAGGAAGCUCUACAGAGACGUGAUGCUGGAGACCUUCAGGAACCUGGCGUCCGUGGGGUCUUGCCCUCAAGUUAAAACCAGUGGAUCAAGUCUUCAGUGGGAUAUUUCGGAUAAUGAACUAUGCAGUGAAGAGAAAAUAGUAAGAUUCAGAAGAAAUGAUCCCUAGUCUGUUUUUGGAGAAAACUGGGCAUUUCAUAACAUGUGUGAUCAGCAUGUAACCCAGGAGAGGCGUUUGAGAAAUCAUUUGGUGGAGAGUCUCUGUGAAGGUAAAGGAGAUCAUCAAUGUGGAGAAACCCUGAACCAGAUUACAAAUCUUACUGUGCAUAAGGGUUAUCCCACUGCAGUUCAGCCCUAUAAAUGCACUAGUGUGGAAAAACCUUCAGGGAUCAUUCUUUCCAGAGGAAUCAGCAAAGAUCUCACCCUGGACACAAACCUUAUCCAUGUGAAGGAUGUGGGCAAGCCUGCAGCUCUGUCUCGUGCCUAAAUCCUCCUGGGGAAACAGACAUUGUAGAGAAAUGUGAUAAACAUCAGGAUGCUGGGAGACCAUCUAAGAGGUACAUGAAGAGUGACAGUAGUAAACAGUCUUUAGAGCGUAAGAAAUCUGGAAAAGCUCUCACUUGCCUGCCAUCUGUUCAGUGACGUAAGAGAGGUCAUUACGGACGGAAAUCCACGUGUGUGAAGUAUGUGGGAAAUCCUUCAGUUAUUAUUCCCAGAUUGCACGGCAUGUGAGAACUCACACUGGAGAGAAACCGUAUGAAUGUAAAGAAUGUGGGAAAGCUUUCACUCGCAGCACACAGUUUCGAGAACAUGUGAGAAUGCACACUGGAGAGAAACCCUAUGAACGUAAGCAGUGUGGGAAAGCCUUCCCAUAUUGCAAAUCCCUGCAAGGACACAUGGGAAUGCACACUAGAGAGAAGCCUUCUCAUGUGUGUAAUGAAUGUGGAAAAGCCUUCCAUUGUCCCAGGUACAUUAGAAGGCACAUAAAAAGACACAGUGGAAUAAAACCCUAUGAAUGUACAGAAUGUGGGAAAGCGUUCAUUACUCCCUCAUCCCUUCGAGAACAUACGAGAACACACAGUGAAGAGAAGCCCUAUCAGUGUCAGCAUUGUGGAAAAGUCUUCAGGCUUCAGAGAUCUCUGCAAGGACACAUGAUUACCCACAGUGAUGAGAAACCCCAUCAGUGUCAGCAGUGUAUGGUAUAUCAGAGAUAUACCAUAUCUCUGAAAGGACGCAUGAAAACACACAGUAAAAAGAAACCGUGUGAAUGUCAGCAGUGUGAAAAAGCCUACUGUUAUUUCAUAUCCCUGCAAAGACACAUGAAAACACACACUGUGGGAAAACUUGAAUCCAAGAAUAGUGGGAAAGCCAUAAUUCUUUCUUAAAACUUAAAAGUGGGAGCAAAACAGUGUCAAGAAUUUUUUUUUUUGCACCACAUGGCUUGUGGGAUCUUAGUUCCUCAACCAGGGAUCGAACCCAGGCCCCCUGCAGUGGAAGCACGGAGUCCUAAGCACUGGACCACCAGGGAAUUGCUGAGCAAUCUUAUGAAUGGAAAAAAUGUUGGAAAAAUUUUUUUCCUUUGUAAGUACCUUAUCCUCAAUACUGAUCUCAGUAUAUUAAUUUGUACUUCAUGUUGCUGAUCUGAACACAUACUAAGUAUCCCUCCAUGUUCGUCUCUACCACUUACAUUUUGUUAUCUCUGAGUUUAUAUCAUUGUACAAUCAUAUAAAACUUGUCUCAUUUCCAUUAGAAUGUCUUUGAUACCAGGGGUGCUAAGUGGCUUUUGGUUUGUGAUUUUUUUCAUGUGCAACUUGUGAUUUCUUUCAUUUUUGAUGAACAGAUUUUUGAUUCUUACUUUUCAUUAUGUUCCAUUAUGUUCCUAAUAUGUGAUCAUGAUAUGAGGCUGGCAUUAAUUAAAUGUCUUUCCUUGUCCACUGUUAAGAGAUACUGGAAUCUCCUGAAUCAA